CCGCCCCCGCACAAGAGCGGAAGAGCCAGAGAGCCAGACCUGACCGCCUCGCUCCCAGGAGCCACGAGCCGCGGCACCCCGGCCCCUUUCCGCCUCGUCGCCUCGCGCGCCGCCGCCGCCAUGGGCGCGGCGGAGGAGCCGUCGCAGAUGCGGCGGGCGAUGGUGGACACGCUCGCGGGCGCCAUCUCCGGGGGCAUCUCCCGCACCGUCACCUCCCCCCUCGACGUCAUCAAAAUCCGCUUCCAGGUUCAAUUAGAGCCCACAGCCUCGUGGGGUGCACUUCGGAGGGAUGUCUAUGGACCUUCCAAGUACACUGGACUUAUGCAAGCAACUAAAGAUAUUCUCCGAGAGGAAGGUUUGCCGGGAUUCUGGAGAGGAAAUGUUCCGGCCUUGUUUAUGUAUAUGCCAUAUACAGCUAUACAGUUCACUGUUCUACACAAGCUAAAAACAUUUGCAUCUGGUUCAUCAAGAACAGAGGAUCAUCUGCACUUAAGUCCAUACUUAUCCUACGUAAGCGGGGCUCUGGCAGGAUGUGCAGCAACAGUAGGGUCAUAUCCAUUUGACCUUCUCAGAACUAUUCUUGCAUCACAGGGUGAACCAAAGGUUUACCCCAAUAUGCGGUCUGCACUUGUUGAUAUAAUUCAAACUCGUGGUGUUCGAGGGCUUUAUGCUGGUCUAACUCCAACUCUUGUUGAAAUCAUACCAUAUGCUGGCCUGCAGUUUGGCUCAUAUGACACUUUCAAACGUUCGAUGAUGUCAUGGAAUAGAUACAGAUAUGGAAGUGAGGAGGACGACUCAGCAUCAAGCUUCCAGUUAUUUCUUUGUGGAUUUGCAGCUGGAACAUUUUCAAAAGCUGCGUGUCACCCACUUGAUGUUGUUAAGAAAAGAUUCCAGAUUGAAGGAUUAAAACGCCAUCCAAGGUAUGGGGCGCGGAUUGAGAGUAGCACGUACCAGGGCAUGUACCAUGCUCUAAAAGAGAUUGUUGUAAAGGAGGGGGUUGGAGGCCUUUAUAAAGGGCUUUUCCCAUCUGUGGUGAAAUCGGCUCCUGCUGGAGCUGUGACAUUUGUGGCAUAUGAAUACAUCUCAGACUGGUUAGAGUCAAUACUCACGUGAAAGAUCUCCUUGCAGCAUAUUUCUCUCUCGAUUAUUUUUGUUUUGUCCGAAGUCCUCCACAUUUGUAUUAGUAAAUGGAUUUAUGUCUGGAAGAGGCUGCAGUUCCUUUGGAUCUUGCAGUCAAUUCAAGAUUUGGGGAGCCUACAAAACCAGCUGGAUGAUUUAUGCUUGAUAGCUAGCACGGCUGGAAUCGAGUGAGUUCUUGUUGGAUAAAGGAGGCAUUGAGAUAGGAGGCAUUUGAGAUGCCAUGAUAACAAGUGUCUGCACUAUGACCAUCAUCGAGAGUUGUUUUUUCGGGACCGCAAGGUCAAAGGAGAAGUGCAGACAGUUAUUCCUUGAGAGUUGAUACCUGUAAAGCCCUACAAUAGAGUGCAUGCAGUUAUUUUGCCAUUUCUCUACCUUUUUUUUUGCCCCCAUUGCCUAAUGGUGCAUUUGUUGAGCUGUAUAACAGUGAGGCCAAGUAAAACUGACACAUAGAGCUUGUUGGUACAUGUCAAGAACAGCAGGCAUUUUUGUUAGGAUAUGAUUACUGUACCCUCAAGUCUUAUGCGCUUGCAUUUCACCGAUUAAUGAGUACCGGUGCUUCUUCUAUGUAUCA